rnacentral:rRNA from 1 species
UACGAAGGGGGCCAGCGUUGCUCGGAAUCACUGGGCGUAAAGCGCACGUAGGCGGCUUUUUAAGUCAGGGGUGAAAUCCUGGAGCUCAACUCCAGAACUGCCUUUGAUACUGAGAAGCUUGAGUCCGGGAGAGGUGAGUGGAACUGCGAGUGUAGAGGUGAAAUUCGUAGAUAUUCGCAAGAACACCAGUGGCGAAGGCGGCUCACUGGCCCGGUACUGACGCUGAGGUGCGAAAGCGUGGGGAGCAAACAGG